rnacentral:misc_RNA from 1 species
UCUACCUACAAGACAACACAUACACUAAAUGUUUCCUAACAACAAGUAACAAUUAAUUGUACAUUUAUUUUAUUUAAGGGAACACAAACUCUAUUUUUGUAACAUGCUGUAUUAGUAGUGCUCCGUGGAAUUUGUACGAUAGUAAAAAACUGGUGCGUGGCCACGCGCGAUACAACGGACGAACACGACGACGGAAAGUAUGAAAAGAUAGGAGAAGGUUUCGCGAUUGUCGGAAGAGCAAGUGCGAACGAGCCAAAAGGAAGAAGAAGAAAGAAAAAAAAAGGGAGACGGUGAUCGUGAGGAGGCGCAAGACGAGGAUCCGUGGAUCAAGAGGACAUCGAGACGAAACGAGCAGGACAACGACAAAGGGGACAAUCUCGAGGAAGACGGUAGGCGAGGUGGAUAAGGACGAUCGUACCGCAACAGUGGCCGCCACUGAGGCUGAAAACGACAGCGAAGUAGGUGAUAAUCUCGCGGUAGUCUCUGUUCGUUGACUCGGCUCGGUGCUGUUAGCCGAUUCUCCGCGGUGUGGUGCGUGUUUCGAUAUACAAAACGAGCUACGACGUGGAGAGAAAAGUGUACGACGACCGAUAGCAGUGAAGUGUACGGAGCCGACACACCCUCUUGACACUCCGACAUUCGUCUCGUAUCGCCAUCGGUUUACCUCUCUACCCCCUUCUUUCCUAAUCAUUUCUCGCUCCUUCGUUCGGCUACAUUUACGUAGUACACCGCGUGUACGUUCGGCCACUGCAACGGAAAGCCGCACACCACGUUCCUCUUUCUUUCUUCUUCGCUCUUCCUCCCGUCUCAACCCCUCGUCUCCUUCUCCCCUCUCUAUCUCUUUCUUUCCGUGCAAAGUGAUUUAUCGUUACGCUUGUCGCAUCGGAUUUCGUCGGUGUUAAAACCAUACCGAGCCGGCUAUCGCGUCCAUAACCAUACGUACCGUGCUUCGUCCUAGCUCUACCCUCCCCCGGCAACCCCCCUCAAGCGUCUCACCCACACCUAUAUCUCUCUUUUUCUGCCUCCGCUCCCGCACCCCGGUUUAUCGGCCGAUCCGAGUGCAAAUUCGUUCGUGACCGUGCUGUGCGAGUUUUGCAUCGACGAAAACGCGGGGUGACGCCGCUCUCUUGGCAACGCCAGACCGAAAACCGUCGACGACUACGAACAGAGAGAGGAGGGACACGCUCAGCCGUAGCAAUUGAAACGACCACGGCACGGUAUCGUUUCGAGCAGGCGCCACGAGCGAUAACACCGCUAACAUGUCCGUGAGAAUGGAAAACGUAGCCGCGCCGAGGAAAAUGAACUAUAAGAUGAUGUAUGGUGGACAACGGGUGCCUACAGCCUCUUCUCCAGCUAACACUAAUAGUAGUUCUAGCAGUGCUACUGGCAGUCAAAGCGGGACAAUGAGCACGAGUCUUAGCAAUAAUGCUAUACAAGGACAACAAGCAGAACAACUAUCAAAAACAAAUUUGUAUAUCCGUGGCCUCAACCAAAACACUACCGAUAAAGACCUUGUUAACAUGUGUUCUCAAUAUGGAACUAUUACUUCUACGAAGGCAAUUUUGGAUAAAAAUACGAAUAAAUGUAAAGGUUAUGGAUUUGUAGACUUUGAGUCACCAGUGGCGGCAGAGGGUGCUGUGAAAGCACUGGUCGCCAAGGGCAUCCAAGCACAGAUGGCGAAAGUGGGUAUCUGGUUGCUCCGUAGACUGCCCAGUGUACGUUGGUUGUGCAUGCAACAACAGGAGCAAGACCCCACCAAUUUGUAUAUUGCAAACCUUCCAUUGAGCUUCAAAGAAAAUGAUGUUGAGGGUUUACUCGCUCAGUAUGGGCAAGUUAUUUCAACGCGUAUAUUACGCGAUACUGCUGGACAAAGUAAAGGUGUUGGAUUUGCAAGAAUGGAGUCCAAAGAAAAAUGUGAACAAAUAAUUCAAAUGUUUAAUGGAAAGGCACUACAAGGGGCUAAAGACCCUCUAUUGGUGAAAUUUGCUGAUGGUGGUAACAAGAAAAAAUCAUUAUACAAAAGUACAAUAUGGAGAGAAACUGGAGAGAACAUGACUCUGAAUUACGAUACAAGCGGUGUUGGUCAAAAUGGGGUUGCAACCACUCACAUGCUACCCACAGCCACUUUAGCACAAUAUGGUCGUCAUUACGGCCAAGCUUUGCCUGGUUACAGCGUACCAGGAGCACCUUGGGUUACUCCUUAUUUGGUGCAAACUGGCCCUCCACAUAUGCAACAGGUCGACAUGAUGCCAUCAGCUGAUCCUAGCAACCCACAAUACAGUAUGAUUCCUCAGCUUACUACACAAAUGUCUACACUGCAUCUUGGCACUGGUUCCUACAUAGCAGCAAGCCCGCAUCCCUAUCCUUAUACUACUUACCCUCCUAGCAUUAUUCAUACCAUGCCAUUGGGUGAUUCUGAACAAACAAGUAACGCAGCAUCUCCUGAUGACUCCUAUCAACAAUACCAAGCUCAGCAGCCCAAGUAGGCUACGGUUUUUAGAUACGAUUACACCGAGGGUUACGUAAGUUAGGAGAGCCACACCUGUUGAUACGAAGGAUUAUAUUAAUGAAGAAUAGAUGAGACUAAAUACAUUAUAUAAAGUCAGAUAAGAUUCUUCCUCAUGAUAAUUGACUUGCCAGCCAUCUUUUAUACAUUUUAUCCAUCAGAUAAAAAUAGGUGAAAGUAGUUAAUAUUUUCCAACGAUUAGAGAAUGAAUGUUGUCAUAAGACGGGGUACGAGUGCUCGUGUCAUUUACAUUUGUUCGGCACCAGCACGGCUCCAUACGCUGUAACGUCAACACAUCAUUACGACAGUGACAAGAAACUGAUACUCUACGACGGACAGUUUAGUGUCAAGCUGAUAGGCUUCCAGGAUUAACUUUAGUUCGAGGGCAACAACAACAACAUCUGCGAGACAAAGGAACAAAUGAACUGUAAAAGUCUGUAAAAUAAACUUACUCUCGUACAAAAGAA